GCUGGGUAGGUGUGAUUCCUUAUUUUGCAAGGAAUUCUCAAACAUUUUUUCCUUACAGAGACUACGAAUUCACUCAUUUUCAUGAGAGGAACUUGGCUUUGCAAAUUAACACGUGUAACACUGAUGAAGCUUUUGAGAACUGUUCAGUGGUUUUGAGAUCUUUUUGGCUGCAAGGAACGGACACUGUCUCCAACCCAUCAGGACUCGUGGAAUAGAAGCCCAUUGGAAGAGCAGGACUGCGGAAUGAAGUGACAGGGCUGGAGGGCAAGGAGAAUAGCAGGUAGCCAUUCCAAGUCCACCGGGGUGCACUGCCUGCACUGAAGCAGAGAAAUCAGGCAGUCGGGCUUCACGAACCUGGGCUCCAGUGACCAGACAAUGUCAGAGGACAGUGUCAUUUCACAAGCAAGGGCACCAAACGCAAAACAGGUUAACUGGGUCAGGGCAGCACAAAUAGUUAGUGGAAGAGCCACAACGAAUUCUCAUGGUUUCCGACCUUCAACCUACUGAGGGACUUGUGCCUCCUGAGGAGAAAUUCUACAAUGAGCCAGACCCUAUUUCCUAGUGCAAAGAUCUGCAACCUUUAGGAAUCCAAGAUUUGGAAGACACCUCUGAGGACACGUCUAUCACUGCUUCAGCUUUUAUUUACCAAGCACUUACUAGGCACCAGACACUUCCUAACCCCUGGUCAUUGACGCAGCUCUGUUGAUUCUAAACAAGCACCUGUCGUGCCAGGCUUCUCACUCCUUUAGACAAGACUCUGCUCCAUUUUCAGGUCACUUUAAUGCCUAGAAAUUUAUUCCUUCACUUAUUAAAAUCUGCAUUUCUAGUAACUUCUACUCACUGAAUUGUUAUACAUUAGCCCAGCAGGUGACACAGAGCUCAUGUGGUCACUUAUGCAGCUGUUAUUUGGGUAACUUCCUCUAAGAACUUUGAAAUGAAUUGUUUCUCUGAGAGUUCUUACAGUGGACCGGAGGACACUGCAGGUACAUACAUACUUACCUUAUAUGGGGACGUUGUUCUAAGCCUACAAAACAGUGCAAGAAUUUGCAAACUCACAUGCUCCAGACAGCUACACAGUUACAAAGAAACAAACAAAAACAUACUUCGAGGCCUAUAAAAGGGAGACAUUUUGUAGCUUCAUUAAUCAGGGUUAUUAUUUAGUUGAGUGUUGGUUGGAGUCAUACUGAGAGUAGGAAUAUACUCUCUUCUGGUAAACUAGAUGACAUUGUCUAUGGCAGAAAAUUAAUACUUGGUGGUAUUGGGGGUUGACCUAUGUCUCCCCCAAAAGAAAUGUUCAAGCCCUAACCCCAGGACCAGUGGAUAUGACCUGAUUUGGAAGUAAGGUCUCUGCGGACAUAAGUAAGCUAAAAUGAUGUCAUACUGGAUUAGAGGAAGAUCUAAUCCAGUGUCUGGUAUCCUUGGAGUGAAAUUAAGACCCAGACAGACGCAAGCAGAAUGCUCUGUGACUGUGGAGGCAGAAACUGGGGGACACAUCUGCAAGCCAAGGACUGCAGCCACGAGAAGGGGGACACAUCCGCAAGCCGAGGACUGCAGCCACGAGAAGGGGGACACAUCCGCAAGCCGAGGACUGCAACCACGAGAACUAGGAAGAAGCAGGGAGGCUCUGCCCUGGACGUUUUAGGAGGAGCAUGGCCUUGCCGAUGUCUUAAUUUCAGACUUUUAGUCUCCAGGACUGUGAAAUAACAAAUUUCUGUUGUUUUAAACCAUCAAUAUUGGUGAUAAUUCAAUAGGAAAACCUAGGAAAGGAAUGUACUUUGUGUUAGGAGGUGGUGAGUUUGCCUUUAGGUGAUUUUAAAGGAAGUGUAUUGCAACUGUUGUUGGUAGGAAGAUGGAGAUAGAAUCUUGGCACCUACUUUUUCCUCAUUCUCAUGGGUCUAAAGUCCACUUCUUUCCUUUGGGGGGAAAGCAGACACUGGAGCAGAAAAAUGAGCACUAAAAUUCUACUGACAGAAAAAAAAUUAGACUAAGACUUGAGCAUCAAAGUUCGGAAGAUGCCAGAAAGGAUAGUGGCCUGGGGCUUAUUCAGGAGAAGCCGACAUUCUUCAGGGGGCAGCUGGAGCUCACCAGGGAGGGUCUGCAGGUGAAGGGUCAAUGUUGCAUCUCAAGGAGAGGUCUGGAACGGAGCUCUUCUUGUGUCAUAGUAGAAAGCCGAAUCUGCCACUGUUCACCCUCUGACCCUGAUGAUUUACAUCCCUCUUAUGAGCAAAAUAUGCUUAUUCUUUUCUUUUUCUACCAAAAAUCUCAUUUCAUUAUGGCAUUUGCUCAAAUUCCAGGGUUUUGUCAUUGAUAGCAGGCCCAGCUUCUGAUGAGCCUCCUUGAAUGUGGUUCCUUGGGUCUGUCUCCUUGAGAUCCAUUCCUAGUUCUGGCACACAGACUCCAAGAUGGUCCCGUGAUUCCUGUUUCUCAGUAUUCACAUCCUUGUCUCAGCCCUUCGCCUUGAGUGUGGGCAAGACCUGUGUGACUUGCUUUUAACCAACUGAGUAAGAUGCACGUGAUGGACACACAUGGUCACCUGGCUUUGAUUACAAUGCUUAUGAUAAUUAAUGUCCAUCUCGCUAACACCCUCUCUCUCUUGCUGGCUUUGAAGAAACAAGCUGCCAUGUGUGAAAUGCCACAUAGAAGGGGUCGUGCAGAAAGGAAGUGAGGGUGGUCUCUGUCUGAGAGCCAGGGAGUGAGUGCUGAUAACCUCGAAAGCUGAUAGGUCAGAACACACUCCAAGGCGUCUUGGCCUAAUGCCACAGUCAGCUCACGAUGACCCCUGUGUGUGUUCUUGCCUUGGUUGGGAGUUCUCACGUUGGUUGGACUCAACCUGGCAUUUCUCAUCUGGGAUCAGUGGAGGGUGUCAGACAGGGGCUGGGGCUGGACUGCAGCUCUGGCUACUGGCUCUGACACCUGCUGCUGCCCAUGGCCUCUUUGUCUCCAAGUGGGCUCUCUGCUUCCUCGUGGCAUGGAGACUGCUUCGUGAGAGCAUCCCGGUGGUCAUGAGAAGAAGCUGCAGAACUUCUAUAACCCAACCUGAAGCCAUACGAUGUUGUUAUAUACUUUUGGCUUGAUCACAGUUCCACUCAGAUUUAAAGAAAGGGAAUGUAAAUCUCCUAUCUGGGUAGGGAAGGGUCAUAUUGUAAGUUGAAAAUGUACAAUGGGCGAUCUUUUUGUGGCCAUGUUGGAAAAUAUAAUCUGACACAAGAGCUGUAUCUGAAUAGUUUAAGUUAUAGGACAGCAGGAUGUCUGUGGUUAACAAUGAUAUAUAUCAUAUACGUGUUGUCAAAUGGCUAAAAGAAAGGGUAUGAACACUCCCAACAGAAAGAAAUGUGACUGUCUGAGAUAACAGAUAUUUGAAAUUACCCAGCCUUGGUCUCUGUGCACUGCAUGUGUUGAAAAUCACCAGGUACUGCAUGAAUGUGCAGAGCUCUGUGUCAAUCAGAAAUAAACUUAAAAUCCCAGAUAGAGACUUCACUGGUUUAUGGAAGCAGGGAAAACAGAAACAGAGAACUUACUGGGAGCAUCUCGUAUAAUUAUAGAACUGAUGGAAUGGCAGGAAAACCAGCCCCAGAAAAUGCAACCAAAAAGCCAGUAGAAGGUAAUGGCAAUGUUGGACUGGUGGGAGGACGGAGCAGAGGAAUCCCCAGAGAGGUGGAAGCUCCCCGGCUUCACCCUGAGGUAUGGAGGUGGUGGGAAACAGCCCACACCGAGGACAGCAGGGUGCAUCUCACUAACCUUGUGGUUUCCUGAUGUACACUUUGAUUUUGCUGCUGCUUUUAUUGUAAUAACCACCCUAUCACCUUCCACUGUUAAAAUCUACUCAUCUUUAAAGAGUCAGAGCGAGUGUCAGCAUCCCAAAUGCUCUGCUGCUUUGUCCCUUUGAACUGAUUUCUUUCUUCUCUAACUUCUGUACUUUCCCCCUUUCUGAUGAAACUUACUGUGCAAUGCUGCAGGUAUAGGUGUGUUCACCUGCCUCAUCAACCCAGACAGGUGCAAGUUCCUUACCUUCAUUUUCUUUAUUUCCCCAGAGUAUCUCAAAGCAACAGGUGUGCGGAUAUAUCUGUUGCAUGAAUGUGGGUGGGUACCACUUGGAAAUUAUACAAAGAGUUUGGUGGUAGGUUCUGGAUGAAUCUUUCCUUUCCUUUGCUUAAAAUACCUGUAAAUAUCAUUGUCUUCCCUUCACAUGCCAUUAAUAAAAAGCUUUCAGAA